rnacentral:rRNA from 1 species
GAUGAACGCUGGCGGCGUGCUUAACACAUGCAAGUCGAACGAUGAAGCCCAGCUUGCUGGGUGGAUUAGUGGCGAACGGGUGAGUAACACGUGAGUAACCUGCCCUUGACUCUGGGUUAAGCCUGGGAAACUGGGUCUAAUACUGGAUAUGACUUCUCAUCGCAUGGUGGGGGGUGGAAAGAUUUAUUGGUCUUGGAUGGACUCGCGGCCUAUCAGCUUGUUGGUGAGGUAAUGGCUCACCAAGGCGACGACGGGUAGCCGGCCUGAGAGGGUGACCGGCCACACUGGGACUGAGACACGGCCCAGACUCCUACGGGAGGCAGCAGUGGGGAAUAUUGCACAAUGGGCGCAAGCCUGAUGCAGCGACGCCGCGUGAGGGAUGACGGCCUUCGGGUUGUAAACCUCUUUCAGUAGGGAAGAAGCGAGAGUGACGGUACCUGCAGAAGAAGCGCCGGCUAACUACGUG